CAGCCAAGGUAAGUUGUCAUUUAAGUAACGUCUGAAGUUGAAUGUAACGUUAAUUACGUGUUUUAAAAUGAUUUCGAUUGCUAGCUAGCAUCGACGUCAAGUCAAGUCAAAUGUAUUUAUAAAGCACAUUUAAAAACAGCUCACUCUGACGUGUGUGGCUGUCUAAUGGUUUCUUAAAUAAUGCUAAAGUGAAGUUACAUGUUACUUGUUGGCUAAUUUUGGCCUGUUUUCAGGCUUAGAUUUUGUUUUUGGAAAAAGGCAACGUUAGCUGCUAGUAGGUGAGAGGACGUUUACAAGCUAGUCAGCUAACAAUAAUUUUCUCGGGAGACCUAUAGUCAUCCAAUAAGUUAUCUGAGGUAAUGAUAACGUUCAGGAAAUCGUAACUUUACGUUACCAAUGUAUGUAAAUAUCAUUCAAGUACUUUUUUGUGUUGUUUAACGCAAAAAUUGGUUGGACAUUGCUGGAAUAUUAUAGGUUUUAUGUAGACAUCUGUGAACUAACGUCAUUAUUUGAGUCGUCGUCAAACAGAAGUAAUGGACAUCACGGUUCGGUAUAACGGGGUUAAAAGCAACAAAACCCAAAUGUAUAAGACUAUGUUUCUUGUCAUUUAUUUCCGCAGGUAGUAGUGGAAGCCACAGCUACGUCUUUAUAUGCUCUGUUCCACCUAGUGUUAUAUAGUUGCUAACGGUUUAUAGUUAAAGGGUUUCCCUGUGGUUCCGAAAUAUCAAUCCCAAGUAUAACUUUUAUUGCUGCCUUUUAGAGCCGCUAAAACUAGUGUGCAUUAGAUAUUAGCAAUGUUUUAUGUUUUAAAUAGCCAUAUAAUGACCUAGUUUUAAACAGCAAUAGAACUCAAAACAAAAUGCUAUGAUCAAACAAAUGCAUUUUGUUAAAAGUAGUCGGCACAAAUUAAUUCUUUGCAACUCUUCGCAAACUUUGCUAAAUGAACGUAUAGGCUACAACAAAGAAUUAAAACCAAUAGCCUUGCUAUUGUUAAUUAAAUAAAGACAUUAGCCUACAUUAAAUGUAUGUAUCUUUGCAUUCCAAGCUCGUUAAGUUUAAUAACUUGAAAAUACCCUUUCAUGUCCUGACCAUUUUAACUGUUAACACUUUCCACGGAAGGUUUGAAUAGCAUCAAUUAUGUUUGUUAAUUUCCCCCUUUGUUUACCCGCCAUUUUGGAGGGGUAGGUUGAUCAAAUUCGCAAAUCCACCCACAUUUGACGAGUAGCGGGUGCUAAUUUCCAUCCCUGACUAUUUGUAUAACAUGGUUGAUGUUUUUCAUUAGGAUCUUGUAAUGGUGUACAGAUAAGAGUAUAUCUGUCUGUGUGGGUAGUGCUUUGUCGUGAACAUGUUGCUUGUUAAUUGAGAGAUUUAAGUCUAACUAAGGAUGUGCACCAUUUUUUUUUAUGAGGUUUGGCAGAUUUGCAUUUCAUAUAACUUGCCAUGUGCCUCUGUCCCUUAUUCACAGAAAAGAGAAGACUUCCUUCUUCAAGAAAAUUUGCUUGGAGAUUCAUGUUGGUCUGGACAAGCCUGUUCCAGACUAAUUGUGACCUCUAUGCAAAUAAGUCUUCCCUUUUAAAUAAGUAAAAAAGAAGACUUCCUUUAUCAAGAUCUCCUUUAUCAAGACCUCCUUUAUCAAGACUUCCCACAUCAAGACUUCCCACAUCAAGACUUGGCGACCUCUUAUGUGUUUGGCG